AUGCAGCAGCCACGUGAUGCAGCCGGCACCGGCGGCGGCGGCGGGGGCUUCUCCUGGGUGUUCGUCCCGGUGAUGUUCGUUUUGCUCACCUUCAACUCGGUCAUGGCGGUGUACCACUCCCAGGGCGACGCGGCGAUGGUGGCCUUCGUCGCUACCUCCUACGCGGACCUGGUUCUGCUCUUCUUCUGUCUCUGGCUCUACAAGAGGGCCACCCUCGGCUCCACCCGAAGGAACCGGCUCAAGGCGUCCGUGUGGAUGCUGACCACGAUGCUCACCUUCGCCUUCGCCUACAUGGUCAUGGGCGCGGCCAGGCUCACCCUCGCAGGGCAGGGAUCGGGGCACGAGGGACAUUCUUCUUAG
rnacentral:rRNA from 1 species